rnacentral:misc_RNA from 1 species
CAAAACGCCACGCCCGCAGUUUCCCUCUCCCCUCUGCUACAUAAACCCUCAAACCGCCUUCAAUUUGAGAGCAUUUAGAAGCCGAGAAUCAGGGAAAAUGAAGAACACAGUGAAGAGCUCCAAAACGAAUGCUAAUUCCAAGUCCGAUGUUAGGAAAGAUAGGAAAUCUGCCACUGGCAUGAGUGGAUCGCCUAAGAAAGGAGGUCACGGCGGCAAGUUUACUUGGGCCGGCGAUGGGUAUUCCCAGGCUGAGAUCGGGCUCCAGGGGGAAGCUGUCGAUGUGAAGGACCCUAACUUUGAAGAUCCAGAAGAGACUGAGACUGUCUGAUUGCGAUGAUGGUGAUUGUCAUUAUUAUCAUGAUCUUUAAUCUUUUUGGUUUUCAUGAUAUGUAAAUAUUGCUGAUGUAAGGUGAUCCUCUUUCAAAA